rnacentral:rRNA from 1 species
GAGUUUGAUCAUGGCUCAGAUUGAACGCUGGCGGCAGGCCUAACACAUGCAAGUCGAACGGUAACAGGAAGAAGCUUGCUGCUUCGCUGACGAGUGGCGGACGGGUGAGUAAUGUCUGGGAAACUGCCUGAUGGAGGGGGAUAACUACUGGAAACGGUAGCUAAUACCGCAUAACGUCGCAAGACCAAAGAGGGGGACCUUCGGGCCUCUUGCCAUCGGAUGUGCCCAGAUGGGAUUAGCUUGUUGGUGGGGUAACGGCUCACCAAGGCGACGAUCCCUAGCUGGUCUGAGAGGAUGACCAGCCACACUGGAACUGAGACACGGUCCAGACUCCUACGGGAGGCAGCAGUGGGGAAUAUUGCACAAUGGGCGCAAGCCUGAUGCAGCCAUGCCGCGUGUAUGAAGAAGGCCUUCGGGUUGUAAAGUACUUUCAGCGGGGAGGAAGGGAGUAAAGUUAAUACCUUUGCUCAUUGACGUUACCCGCAGAAGAAGCACCGGCUAACUCCGUGCCAGCAGCCGCGGUAAUACGGAGGGUGCAAGCGUUAAUCGGAAUUACUGGGCGUAAAGCGCACGCAGGCGGUUUGUUAAGUCAGAUGUGAAAUCCCCGGGCUCAACCUGGGAACUGCAUCUGAUACUGGCAAGCUUGAGUCUCGUAGAGGGGGGUAGAAUUCCAGGUGUAGCGGUGAAAUGCGUAGAGAUCUGGAGGAAUACCGGUGGCGAAGGCGGCCCCCUGGACGAAGACUGACGCUCAGGUGCGAAAGCGUGGGGAGCAAACAGGAUUAGAUACCCUGGUAGUCCACGCCGUAAACGAUGUCGACUUGGAGGUUGUGCCCUUGAGGCGUGGCUUCCGGAGCUAACGCGUUAAGUCGACCGCCUGGGGAGUACGGCCGCAAGGUUAAAACUCAAAUGAAUUGACGGGGGCCCGCACAAGCGGUGGAGCAUGUGGUUUAAUUCGAUGCAACGCGAAGAACCUUACCUGGUCUUGACAUCCACGGAAGUUUUCAGAGAUGAGAAUGUGCCUUCGGGAACCGUGAGACAGGUGCUGCAUGGCUGUCGUCAGCUCGUGUUGUGAAAUGUUGGGUUAAGUCCCGCAACGAGCGCAACCCUUAUCCUUUGUUGCCAGCGGUCCGGCCGGGAACUCAAAGGAGACUGCCAGUGAUAAACUGGAGGAAGGUGGGGAUGACGUCAAGUCAUCAUGGCCCUUACGACCAGGGCUACACACGUGCUACAAUGGCGCAUACAAAGAGAAGCGACCUCGCGAGAGCAAGCGGACCUCAUAAAGUGCGUCGUAGUCCGGAUUGGAGUCUGCAACUCGACUCCAUGAAGUCGGAAUCGCUAGUAAUCGUGGAUCAGAAUGCCACGGUGAAUACGUUCCCGGGCCUUGUACACACCGCCCGUCACACCAUGGGAGUGGGUUGCAAAAGAAGUAGGUAGCUUAACCUUCGGGAGGGCGCUUACCACUUUGUGAUUCAUGACUGGGGUGAAGUCGUAACAAGGUAACCGUAGGGGAACCUGCGGUUGGAUCACC